CGAACGAGUGAGUAACACGUGGGCAACCUGCCCAAAANAGGGGGAUAACACUUGGAAACAGGUGCUAAUACCGCAUAACCAUAGUUACCGCAUGGUAGCUAUGUAAAAGGUGGCUAUGCUACCGCUUUUGGAUGGGCCCGCGGCCCAUUAGCUAGUUGGUGGGGUAAAGGCUUACCAAGGCAAUGAUGCGUAGCCGAACUGAGAGGUUGAUCGGCCACAUUGGGACUGAGACACGGCCCAAACUCCUACGGGAGGCAGCAG
rnacentral:rRNA from 1 species